rnacentral:misc_RNA from 1 species
GAUGAAGAACGUAGCGAAAUGCGAUAAGUAAUGUGAAUUGCAGAAUUCAGUGAGUCAUCGAAUCUUUGAACGCACAUUGCGCCCGCUAGUAUUCUGGCGGGCAUGCCUGUCCGAGCGUCAUUUCAACCCUCAAGCCCCCGGGCUUGGUGUUGGGGAUCGGCGAGCCUCCGCGCCCGCCGUCCCCUAAAUCUAGUGGCGGUCUCGCUGUAGCUUCCUCUGCGUAGUAGCACACCUCGCACUGGGAAACAGCGCGGCCACGCCGUUAAACCCCCAACUUCUGAACGUUUGACCUCGGAUCAGGUAGGAAUACCCGCUGAACUUAAGCAUAUCAAUAAGCGGAGGA